UUCGCUCGUGUUGGCAGAUAA
ensembl:piRNA 21ur-2994 ncRNA